rnacentral:rRNA from 1 species
AUUGAACGCUGGCGGCAUGCCUUACACAUGCAAGUCGAACGGCAGCACGGGAGCAAUCCUGGUGGCGAGUGGCGAACGGGUGAGUAAUAUAUCGGAACGUGCCCAGUCGUGGGGGAUAACGUAGCGAAAGCUACGCUAAUACCGCAUACGAUCUAUGGAUGAAAGCGGGGGAUCGCAAGACCUCGCGCGAUUGGAGCGGCCGAUAUCAGAUUAGGUAGUUGGUGAGGUAAAGGCUCACCAAGCCGACGAUCUGUAGCUGGUCUGAGAGGACGACCAGCCACACUGGGACUGAGACACGGCCCAGACUCCUACGGGAGGCAGCAGUGGGGAAUUUUUGGGACAAUGGGCGCAAGCCUGAUCCAGCAAUGCCGCGUGCAGGAUGAAGGCCUUC